UGACGUUCUCAGGGCGGGGUGCAAGUCCCCACCGGCGGUAAUGGCGCGCAAUGCGUCUAGCCCGCGAGCGCUUGCCGAACCGCUUCGCCGGAGGGCAAGGUCAGCAGACCCGGUGUGAUUCCGGGGCCGACGGUAAUAGUCCGGAUGAAGAGAGAACGGGA
rnacentral:ncRNA from 2 species